rnacentral:rRNA from 1 species
GAUGAACGCUGGCGGCGUGCCUAAUACAUGCAAGUCGAGCGAACAGACGAGGAGCUUGCUCCUUUGACGUUAGCGGCGGACGGGUGAGUAACACGUGGAUAACCUACCUAUAAGACUGGGAUAACUUCGGGAAACCGGAGCUAAUACCGGAUAACAUGUUGAACCGCAUGGUUCAACAGUGAAAGACGGUCUUGCUGUCACUUAUAGAUGGAUCCGCGCCGCAUUAGCUAGUUGGUAAGGUAACGGCUUACCAAGGCAACGAUGCGUAGCCGACCUGAGAGGGUGAUCGGCCACACUGGAACUGAGACACGGUCCAGACUCCUACGGGAGGCAGCAGUAGGGAAUCUUCCGCAAUGGGCGAAAGCCUGACGGAGCAACGCCGCGUGAGUGAAGAAGUUCUUCGGAUCGUAAAACUCUGUUAUUAGGGAAGAACAAAUGUGUAAGUAACUAUGCACGUCUUGACGGUACCUAAUCAGAAAGCCACGGCUAACUACGUG